rnacentral:rRNA from 1 species
GACGGUACUAUAUGAAUAAGGAUCGGCUAACUCCGUGCCAGCAGCCGCGGUAAUACGGAGGAUCCAAGCGUUAUCCGGAAUUAUUGGGUUUAAAGGGUCCGCAGGCGGGCUGUUAAGUCAGAGGUGAAAUCCUACAGCUCAACUGUAGAACUGCCUUUGAUACUGAUAAGCUUGAGUUAUUGUGAAGUGGUUAGAAUGUGUGGUGUAGCGGUGAAAUGCUUAGAUAUGACACAGAACACCCAUUGCGAAGGCAGAUCACUAACAAUAUACUGACGCUCAUGGACGAAAGCGUGGGGAGCGAACAGGAUUAGAUACCCUGGUAGUCCACGCCGUAAACGAUGGAUACUCACUGUU